UCUAGUGACGAUAACAUUUGGGGUAAUACCUGUUCCCAUUCCGAACACAGAAGUCAAGCCUAAAUGUGCCGAAAAUACUUGUGGGUUACCCUGCUGGGAAGAUAGGUUGUUGCUAGAU
rnacentral:rRNA from 1 species